rnacentral:rRNA from 1 species
UACGUAGGGGGCUAGCGUUAUCCGGAAUUACUGGGCGUAAAGGGUGCGUAGGUGGUUUCUUAAGUCAGAGGUGAAAGGCUACGGCCCAACCGUAGUAAGCCUUUGAAACUGGGGAACUUGAGUGCAGGAGAGGAGAGUGGAAUUCCUAGUGUAGCGGUGAAAUGCGUAGAUAUUAGGAGGAACACCAGUUGCGAAGGCGGCUCUCUGGACUGUAACUGACACUGAGGCACGAAAGCGUGGGGAGCAAACAGG